rnacentral:rRNA from 1 species
AUUGAACGCUGGCGGCAGGCUUAACACAUGCAAGUCGAGCGGGGUGAUGGUGCUUGCACUAUCACUUAGCGGCGGACGGGUGAGUAAUGCUUAGGAAUCUGCCUAUUAGUGGGGGACAACAUCUCGAAAGGGAUGCUAAUACCGCAUACGUCCUACGGGAGAAAGCAGGGGAUCACUUGUGACCUUGCGCUAAUAGAUGAGCCUAAGUCGGAUUAGCUAGUUGGUGGGGUAAAGGCCUACCAAGGCGACGAUCUGUAGCGGGUCUGAGAGGAUGAUCCGCCACACUGGGACUGAGACACGGCCCAGACUCCUACGGGAGGCAGCAGUGGGGAAUAUUGGACAAUGGGGGGAACCCUGAUCCAGCCAUGCCGCGUGUGUGAAGAAGGCCUUAUGGUUGUAAAGCACUUUAAGCGAGGAGGAGGCUCUUUUGGUUAAUACCAAGAUGAGUGGACGUUACUCGCAGAAUAAGCACCGGCUAACUCUGUGCCAGCAGCCGCCGCAG